AGUAGAUAUUUGAAUUAUGCUUUCUUAUUUUAUAAAAUUGUAUCACUAAACUAAGUCUAUUUUGUUUUAGUUCCUCCUCUUGAAGGUUUUGUAAUGAAUCGGGUGCAAGGUGAUUAUUUUGAAACUCUACUUUAUAAGAUAUUUGUCUCAAUAGAUGAGCAUACUAAUGUUGCAGAGGUAAGUAUGAACAGUGUUUUAUGAAAGACUUGGCCUCGAGGUUAUAAAAUAAUCUUUGUGCGAAGUAAAGUUAUUUAAUGAUGGUUAAAGUGUUUUUGGAAUCUGUACAUGGUAGAUCAUAGACCAUUAAUAUACUUACGUCACUGUUCUUAUGUUACUUCUUGUAUAUACAUACUGAGUUUUUUUUUAGUAAUAACAUAAUUUGGUAAAUAACUUUUUAUAUGACUUCUUGGUAAAAGGACUGUAGGCUGUUGAUUGAUAUAGGCAUUUUCUUAUUUUAAAUGAAACUCAAUUAAAGAGAAAAGAAUCUUCCAUUGUUAUGGUCCCUAUCUAGACUCCUACUACCCUAAACAUCUUAGACAUAAGGAAAGGAGAAAGUUCUGAUUUCAAAAUUUAUUCAGUCUUUCAGUUAUUCUUAAUUUAAAAUUUUGCUCUUUAUGGUUCAGUUGUUUAUUACAAGCUGUGUAAUAUUGAUAAUUCUAGGAAUGUAAAUAAUUUUUUUUUAUCUUCCAGCUUGCAAAUGUCCUUGAAAUAGACUUAUCUUUGGUUAAGGUAUGUAAUUUUUAUACUCUUUUUACUUAUAAAUACUGAAUGGCUUUUAUUAUAAGCCAUUGAUAAGCUACUGAGAGAUAGAGACAGUGAGAUUCUUAUCGCUCUCCAAGGGGACAGUAAAGGGGUCCUUGCAAAGAUAGAAAGAAAUAAGGAUCCUGAAGUGGAAUUUCACCCCACGCAGUGAAAGCCGGCAUUCACAUUCCUGUGCACGCAGGAGGCAGAGUGAUCAGUGUCUAGUAAGGAGGUCAGUUAAAGCAACAACUUCUGCUAAACUGCACCACUUCAGCCUCUUGCUUCGGAGACAGCGGCAGGCCUGAGGGUUGGGAGCAUUCGCUCUUCUACGGAUGUGAAGACCAUAGCAGAUGAACAGGCCUACUGAAAAAUGGCUUUUUCUAGUUAUGGGAUGAAAAUGUGUGAGGAUCACUGUAAGCAUAGUCCGUGGUUAUAUUUUCUCUCUACAAACAUUCUGAUGUCUGGUUCAUUGUAAAUGCUAAUUUCCUUUCUGUUCCUUUCAGAAUGCCGUUUCAAUGUAUUGCCGAUUGGGCUUUGCCCAUAAGAAGGGACAAGUAAUAAAUUUGGACCAGCUUCAUUCAUCGUGGAAGAAUGUUCCAUCCGUAAACAGAUUAAAGUAAUUCAUUUAUUUAGUAUGAGAUAUUAGAGUUUCCUCUUAGGAAAAAAUACUGUUUUAUGUACAAAAAUUUUACUUACCAACCUGUCAGUUGAGGUGAACCCUAUAUAUUAGUGGUUUUUAAUCUUUUUUUGUGUGAUGAAUCUUUUUUAGGAUGAUGAAAACAAGAACCCUUUCCCCAGAGAAAAGUAAAUACAGUAUUUUACAUGCAGUUUUUUUGUUUUUGUUUUUGUUUGUUUUAGUAUUUUACAUAUAGUUUUAAAGAGUUCUCAAAUUCCCUGAAGCCUGUCCAUGGGUCUUAGUUGAGAACCAUUGCUGUAUGUGGGCAGAGCAUUUUCAGGCUUGAACAUAAGACUGGAUUUGGAUGGAUAUUCAUAAUUUGAGUACUGACUUUAGUAGCUAUUUUUAUAUAAGAUAAUUUAUAUGUCUUUUAAAAUGUGGAUGUAUUCUUCGUUAAUAGGAGUACUUUAGAUCCACAAAAGAUGCUGCUCUCAUGGGAUGGUGGGGAAAGUAGGAGUCCUGUACAAGAAGCUUCAUCGGCUACUGACACAGAUACUAACAGUCAAGAAGAUCCAGGUUAGCACUUACUCACUUUAAUUUAGAGUGUUUAUAGAUGAUGGCCUGUGUCUAUACAUACACUCACAGAGUUAACUCUCCUAGCUUUGUUCUCGGUAUCAUUCGUUUGGUACAUAGUCGUUGAGUACUUACCCAUAUGCUGGGUACUGUGCUAGGUCUUAAGGGUAUAAAAUUGAUAAGAAUAUGGUACCUUCCUUCUGAGAAUUAAGUCUAGGGAGAGAGAAGGCAGGAUAACCACAAAACCCACAGCAACGUGAGAAGUGUUUUGGUGCUUGUGGGAGCAGAGGGGAAGUGCUCCCUUGUUGCCUAGAGAGAGAGGUUCAGGAAGCUUUCCUGGAGAGGAGGAUAGUUGGGCUAAAAAUGAAUAAUAGCUUGCCAGCUGGUGAGUGAGGGAAGGCCUCAGUAUGGGCCAAGCACAAGGGGAGGCAAAGCUAAUGGACGAGGGGGCUACAUGUGGUUUAUGUUGGGGUGUGGGGAGGGGAGCACAGCAUAGGCUCUCAUUCUAACCCCAGCCUCUUACCUGAGCCAGGUGACUCGUCUGAAGAGUUUAGGCUAGCUAGUCUUAAUGUUCUGUCAGUUAUCAAGUCUUGGUUUAUUAUUGGCUUUUAAGAAGUUUAUUAUAGGGGUGUCUGGAUGGCUUAGCUGGUUAAACAUCCGACUUUGGACUUUGGCUUAGGUUGUGAUCUCGCAGUUUUGUGAGUUCUAGCCCCACAUCGGUCUCUGCAUUGGCAGCACAGAGCCUGCUUGGGAUUCUCUCUCCCUCUCUCUCCGUCCCUCCCCUGCUCGCUCUCUCUCUCUCAAAAUGAAUAAAUUAUAAAAAACACGGGGCGCCUGGGUGGCGCAGUCGGUUAAGCGUCCGACUUCAGCCAGGUCACGAUCUCGCGGUCCGUGAGUUCGAGUCCCGCGUCAGGUUCUGGGCUGAUGGCUCAGAGCCUGGAGCCUGUUUCCGAUUCUGUGUCUCCCUCUCUCUCUGCCCCUCCCCCGUUCAUGCUCUGUCUCUCUCUGUCCCAAAAAUAAAUAAACGUUGAAAAAAAAAAUUAAAAAAAAAAAACACAAAAACAAAAAAAAGAAAAAAAAACAUAAAAGAAAAAAGAAGGAAAGAAAUUUAUUAUAGGGGUGUCUAGGUGGCUCAGUCAGUUAAGUGUCCCGACUCUUGAUUUUGGCUCAGGUCAUGAUCUCAUGGUCGUGAGAUUGAACUCUGCUUUUGGGUUCUGUACUGAGUGUGAAGACUGCUUGGGAUUCCUCUCUCCCUCUGGCCCUCCCCUGCUCGCACGCGUGCUUGCUCUCAAACAAACAACAACGAAAGAAAUUUACUACACAAGUACCUUUAAAAAAAUUUUUUGUAACCUUUUUUAGUUCGAGAUAGGUGGGACUGGGACCUUUUGGGACUGCAAUAUUGGCUUACAUUUAGUUAUGUAAUUUUUUUAAUUAUCAAAGUUGAAAAGAAAUACUUUCUCAUUCUAAAUGAUAAGCAAAGAAUAAUUUUCAUUUACUCGAUUUUACGUUAUGAUUUUUUUUUUCUAGCUGACACAGCCAGUGUAAGCAGUUUGAGUUUGUCCACAGGAUAUACAAAGCGUAUUGCUUUUCUCUUUGACUCAACUCUCACUGCCUUUUUAAUGAUGGGAAAUCUUUCACCAGUAAGUCAAAUUCUUGUUUAAAUAUGACAGUGUUUAAAGAUUAGAAUUAAAAUAGUUCAUGCUUUUAGGUCCCUUUUUAAGAAUUAGAUUAAUUCCUAAAAAUGCAAAAUGCAACUGUCUUUGUUUUAUAUUCCUUAGAGGAGCAUAGUAACUCUUUAGUGAGGGUUACUUCUGUAAUCAGAAGACUCAGCUUCACAUGUCACUCACUUUUAAGUGUAAUUAUAUUAGACAGCAUAGUAUAAAUGUGAGAUGUUAAUGCUUCAUAUAAGAAGAGAAAACUAGGACUUAUGAACAGUAGACUCAUGUAAGGUGUUUAGGGUCCAUUUUAAGUUUUUUUGUUUUGUUUCUGUAUUACAGAACUUGAAAAGCCAUGCUGUCACAAUGUUCGAAGUUGGCAAACUGUCAGAUGAGUCUCUGGACAGCUUUCUUAUAGAACUAGAAAAGGUAAAUCUGGACUGGUCAGUAUGGGAUGUCAGGGCAUUUGGAACCAUUUCUUGAUACAACAUCAGUUAUUGAUUGUAUAGGUUUUCAUAUAUUCUUGCUCAUUCCUGCCUAAUUCCUCACCUUAAUACUGCAACAGUCAUUUAGACUUUAGAAUAUCAAGUGGAUGAACAGAUUUUGUGAUUUAAAAAGUGAUUUGUGGACCUUAUCUAUCACUUAGCAUGAUUUGGUUUAAUGAAAUGGGGUACAGAAAUAGUCUAUGUAAUUUUUUGAAUUACGUUUUUCUAAAAUAGCUUGUAAUUUUCUUUAGUGUGAUUUUCCAAGAUCUCCUUUCAGCUGUUUUAUUUGAAGUUUUUGUUCCCCUUAUCUUAAAUCUGAAACAGUGUCCCUGGGUAUCAUGUUUAUGUCCACUCUCACCAUCCCCUUUAUUGUCUGGAAGACUUCAGCCAAUGCUCUUAGCCACCUUCUUCCCCAUGAGGACAGCCCUACUUGGCCUUAGCUCUAAAUCUGGAUUGCCCUUUUGGGGUUUUCCAUUUCCUAGGUUUUUUGGGUUUUUGGUGGUGGUGGUCGUGGUGUGGUAGAGAUGUGUGUGUGUGUGUGUGUGUGUGUGUGUGUGUGUGUGUGUGUGUGUGUGUUGUGUGUGUUUGUUUUCGUUUUUGUUUUUGUCCUCUGUUUUCCUCUCUGCAAAUAGUUUAUAUGCUGAAUCUGUUACUUGACUAAUAAUUUUGGUACCUUUUGUGUUUUAGUGGUGAACUCUAUGUAUUAAAUGUGCUACUUAGAGGAUUUUAUGAUUCCAUUAUCCUUUAUAUCUUAAGAAAAAGACCAUGACAUUUUUCACUCUUCCUUCUCCAUAAAUUUUUCCUUUUUUUAGGGCAGAAAUGUACUUGAGAUAAUCCUUGCUAUUAAUUGUUCUCUUAUUGUUACCUUUAUACAUCCAUUAUUCCCUCAAUACUUUUAACACCUUGUUAACCCCAUUUCUUGUUUAUUAUCUUGGAAAAUUUGCCAAUAAAUUUUUUAUUUUCUAGCACAUUCUAAGUUCUGUUUUUCUGACUUUUAUUUUUCUCACCUCCACUAGUCUUUUACCACGUUUAGCAAAUUGGAAGAUCACUUUAUUUUUUAUAUAUUGAUAUUCUCUUAUAUCACAUAGUUAUUUUUGGGAAGGCCUUUUAGUCUGAAGUCUAGUUUUUAAAAAUAGUUUCUUAGCUAUUUUUUAAGAAGCUUCAUCUUGAUGAGGCUUAAGUGGUUAUCUUAUUUUUUAAUGCAGAUCUAAUUUAGUCAUUUUCCCCUAUAGACCUGUCUUUCCAUUUCGUGUGUUGUUUCUGGGAUGUGUGUGUUUUUACGUAUGGAACAAGUACCUGACUCAGUGUCAGAAGAACAUGCAUUAAAAUGAAGUCCAGUGAGCACAGCGGUUUUGUCCACUAUUCAAUCCAUACAUCCUAGACAGGUCAUCCAUAGCACAUAGUAAGGACUCAGUGAAUCCUCGUUGAAUGAAUUUAAGCUGUAUAUUUAGUAGCGUUGAAACAGCCGUGUUGAAUCACAUACUCCACUGAGCUUUGCAGCCAGUGAUACAGAACUGUGGACACGGUGAUGAGAAUUAGGGGCGUAAUUGGUGACCAUGGAUUGGAGUACUCUUCUGGAAGAAGCAGAACGUAGAAUGUAGAUCUUAAGAGUUUUUUUAAGCACUCCAUUUGAAUCAUAUGUGAGACAUACAACUUAUAUAAUGGUGUAAUUUAACAUUAUUUGGUUUGUUAGUUUUACUUGCUGGGAUAAUUUCUGUCAUCUUCAAGGAUGUAUUCAAAUAGAAACUCAACUGAGAUUUAAGCUAAUGUUUCAGUAUUGCCUGGGCAAAUUUGUGGUUUAUUGAUUCUUAAUGUCUUAAUAUCUCUACUGUAUGGUUACAUAUUAGGAUGAAUGGUUUGAGAGUGGUACUGCAAAACUUAUUUUCUCUUGGUUUAGGUUCAGAGCACUGGUGAAGGAGAAGCACAGAGAUAUUUUGAUCAUGCACUUACUCUGAGAAACACAAUAUUGUUUCUGCGUCAUAAUAAAGAUCUAGUUGCACAAACUGCACAGCCAGACCAGCCCAAUUAUGGUAUGAUAAAUGUACUUGAUUUUGAAGACAUGAUCCUAUGGAACUUCUUUAAGAAAUUAAACAGGUCACGCUCACUUAUUUAAUACAUUUUGUGUAGAUGGCAUGUCGAGUUUGCAACUAAAGGCUUGUUUUGUGAAUUUCUUUGCUCGUGAACUCUUUCUUACCUUAUUUUACUCUUUCUCCUUUCUUAUGUGCCACUGUAGUAUUUGUAGCAUUUAAAUCUGUUCAGUACCUAUAAGAAGGGUUGGAGUGUUUAAUUUGUUUAAGUGGCUGGACAGAAUUUAGAACAGGCCUCAGUUUGAGGGGUGAACAAGUGCCAAAAUGUAGUUGUUUUAAGAAGCAUAAAAUUUCAUGAGUGAAAGAUUUCAUUGUAUAAAAAUAAUAAACAGGAGCUUCCUAUUGAAAUGCUGCUGUAAUAUUUACUAAAGUAUUUUACACUAACAAAUAAAAAAGAGGACGGAGAACCUUUUUAAAGAGUAAAAGAAGUAGUGACACUUGUAAUCUGUGAUGAGCCCUGCUGUGGCGAUCACCUGGCAUGCGCUGUCAGUGUUGGGAUAGACGAGGGUUCCCAAACUGGGGGUCAGUGGAUGGUAGGUCCUGCGUUGUGCAGCGCCAUCCAGGAAUAUAUGUUUUGAAAAGAUGACGUGGCCUGGGCACCAGUGAAGAGCAUUUGGCUCAGAUCCUCAGACAUUCGCAGGAGCUGCAUCUCGGAAGUCUGUGAAAUCUUGGCACCACGAUAAUAUUUAUUCUCACUCAUUCUUUCAUUCACUUGGAAGUUCUGUUUUCUGGCCAAGAACCUUCGAGUUUCUUAGUGACAUCCAUUCUCAUUCUACUUCUUUCACUAGCAUCUGGCUUUCUUUUCAACUCCAUUUAAAAAUUUAAGGACGGAAUCAGUUGUCACUCCACAAAAGUGGUUGUGGAGGUGACCGCAAAGCUGCCAGGUGGUUGAGCUGAGUGAGGCUGGACACGCUCAGUUUCCUGUGACUGGGCUCUGCAACCUUUGCGUGUCAGGUGCAGAGAUAGACGUGAGCAGAAAGAGGAACGGUCCCAUGCUGGGGCUCUUUUUGAGAUUGUUCGUAAAUAGUUAAAACUGAGACUAUUAAAUGCCAAGCGGCCAAAGCACUUACUCAUAAGCGUUUGUUAAUAGUAACCUUUUUUUGGCUACCAAAUGUUAGAUCAUGUGACCUGAGCAAUGAGCAGCACAAUCUUGAAGAUGUCUUUGUACGCAAAAGUUACCGGGACUUUUUAGUGACUUAUGGAGAUAACAGGUUAGAGUAUUUGAAAUACUCUGCUAUAACCAUCUUAAAAUAUAUCAUCCUUCCGUGCUCAUGAUAGAAUGCAGGGAUGUUGGUGCUAGUGGCCAGGCAAGUUUAACUCAUUUUAUAGAUAAAGAAAUUGAAGGUUGUCUCAGUCAGAUUUCCCGCCCAUAUAAAUUAUGGUCUGUAUGAUCAGUCAGUGGAAGAAAUGGGAUUUAAAUCCAUGUCUCUUGAAUUUUUUUUUUUUUUUUGCUCUGUCCCUUUUAUUAACUUCUCUUGAGCACUAAGCUUUUUUUUUUUUAAUUUUUUUAAUGUUAUUUAUUUUUGAGAGAGAGUGAGAGAGAGAGACAGAGCAUGAGUGGGGGGAGGGGCAGAGAGAGAGGGAGAGAUAGAAUCCAAAGCAGGCUCCAGGCUCUGAGCUGUAAGCGCAGAACUCAACACGGGGCUCAAACCCAUAAACCACAAGAUCGUGACCUGAGUUGAAAUCGGACGCUCAACCAACUGAGCCACCCAGGUACCCCAGGCACUAAGCUUUUUAUUGAUUUAUUCAUAAACGACCUCUCAGUAAUCUGGACUAAACUUUUUCACCAUUAAUUUAUGUACCAAAAUGUAUGUUAAAGGGAAAACCUAAACCUUAUCUGUGUGAAAGUAGUUAAGUUUAUUUUUCUAACCUCGGAGGUUGGCUUGAUACUUGACGGGUUUUGGGUACCAGUUAAAGCUUUUGUUGUUUAGUCUCUCCUCUCUCAGAUUUUUUUUAAUCAUUUUUUCACUUGUGGCUGUGAUUUCUCCAUUUUAUUAAAUUUGCUUUUGAAUUGUUGUACUUAAACAUAAGUUUCUCUACUCUUUAUAGAACUUUUCCCCUUCUCUCCUCUUCCUAAGCCAACUGCUCACCUCUCAUUGUACUUCAAAAUGAACAUCACAUCUGGGUCCAGCCAGUCUUGUCUUAUAGCUGCUUUCGGUUCUCUGUCUUUCCUUUGUUUGCCAGAGGUGUGGACCCGAUGUUCUUCCUGACAUCUGUAGGACUCUCUCUCCUCCAUUAACAUUAAAUCACAGACUCCCUGCGGUUUUUAUUUUUUUAAACAUCCUAUUUGGAAAUAUUUUAAAUUUACUAAAACGAAUAAAAGUAGUAUAAUUACUUUCAGCCCAGAAUUUGGGAGUAAGUGAAGUAUCAUGGUGUUAACUCCACUAAAUUUUUCAGGGUAUGUUUCUUUUCUAUUUUUUUUAGUGUUUAUUUUUGAGACAGUGCAAGCGGGGGAGGGGCCGAGGGAGAGGGAGACAGAAUCAGAAACAGGCUUCAGGCUGAGCUGUCAGCACAGAGCCUGUCGAGGGGCUCGAACUCAUGAACCGUGAGAUCGUGAUAUGAGCCAAAGUCAGACACUUAACUGACAGCCACCCAGGCGUCUCCUCUCAGGGUAUGUUUCCUAAGAAUAGGGCUAUGCCCUCACAUCAACUUCAGAAACUGUAAUGUUGAUACAGUAAUCUACCGUUUGUAUUCCAGUUUAUCAGUUGACCUAAUCAUGUCCUUCAUAGCAUUUUCGCCCUUCAAGUGCAGGAUCUGGUUUAAGAUCAGAUCUGCAUGAAAUUGUUGUGUCUCCUCUAUCUCCUUUAUUCUGGAACAAAUCUGUAACCUUUUUAGUCCUUUAGAACAUUCUUUUUUAAGAAUAUAGUCCCUUUUUGUUGGUUUUACCAGAAAGUUUCUCACCUGGGGUGUAGGUGAUGUUUCAUUGUGUUUAGUAGAUUCAGGUUGUGCGCUCAAGUCUAGAGUAUCAUGUAAGUAAUGUCAUGUUCUAAGGGUAUGACAUCUGGAUGCAUGUGAUUUCCAUCUGUCCCCCAUUGUGAUGGUAAUUUUGAUCACCCAGUUGAUGUGUUUUCUGAUAUUUCCACCGUACAGUUAAUUAUUCUCCCCACCCUCAACUACUAAGUAAUCUGUGGGCAGAUACUUGGAGACCAUGCACGUAUCCUACUCCUCAUCAGUAUUUCCUCUCAGAUGGAGCAUCCAGGGAUGGUCCUGUCUGAACCAUUCUUUACUGUGAUGGCUGCAGAUUGAUCACUUUUUUCCAAUUCCAGUAUUUCUUCCAGUGACAGCUGGGACUAGGCAUUCUUUCAUAUUCUCAGUAUGGAUUGAUGAAUUCCCAUUUUUUUCAGUGGCUUAUAAUCAGUCAUUGCUCUCUUAAUUCGUAUGCUGCAGUUGUCUCGGAUUUUGCCAGUGGGUUUCCCUUCAAGCCGGCUCCUGUUUUCUUGUGCCAUGCCUCCAUCCUUUAAAUUUUUUUUUUUUUUUUUUUUUUACUUUUGUUGCAGUUCUUUUCUCUCUGGCAAAACAGUGUUAUCUUGUCUUGUACUUCUGUCCCAUUCCUGGAAUCAGCCUUUUCUCUUAGGAGCCUGGUUUCUCAUACUAGGGUAUGAUAUUAAAGAUCAAGGUCCUGGUGCUAGUUGUGCUCGGUGCUUCUGUGCCCUUCCAGCAGGCCAUGUGUUUUUUGAUUCAUUCUUGGCUUGAGUGAGAGAUGGGCCAACUUGACCUUCCAAAGUUUCUUUCAGCCUUAAAUAUCUCUUUUUAGAGGGCAAACAGAAUUGGUAUUUUCCAAAAGGAUCAAGAAUGGGAACACUUAAAAUCUGUUGCAUGCUGAGUGAGUUCAUGCUUUACGGACCGGCAGUCUUGGGUACAUAUUGUUAGCUGAGGAACUCGUUCCUAUGCCAUACUCAGAACUUGGUCUUGAAGCUCUUUGUAGAAAUCAGAAAUUGGGGGAGGCAAGGUGACAGCUUUUUUUGUGGCACUUAGGUCUUCAUAACAUGCCAUUGCCCUGGCGUGGCUGGGGAUGGAGAGGAGGCAAGGUGGAGCAAGCACGUACUUUUAACGGAAGAGGUGGCCUCACAGAACACCAGUAGACCAUUAAUCUUUCUAGACCAGGGAAUAAAGACCCUUAGUUUUAAGUCUUAAAGUGUCUUAGUGGUCUCCAAGGAAAUUGGGCAUUUUUAAUAGAGAUAACUCUGUGAAAACAAUGUUUAAAUAUCAAGGCAAUAUUUUAUUUUAGACAUUUACAAUAUUUAAAUAUUUUACCAAUAUUUUGUCUUGGACAUUUUUGCUUCACAUUGUCAGUCUUUCACUCUAUGUGUAUGCUUGAUCAUAAUUCAGGUUUUCCUCUGGAUCUCUUACGCUGUGAAAGCCUUCUUGGUUUGGACCCUGCAACUUGUAGCAGAGUUCUGAACAAAAAUUACACACUACUCGUCUCCAUGGCUCCUCUCACCAACGAAAUCCGGCCUGUGAGCAGCUGCACCCCUCAGGUAAAGAGCCACCUGGAGUGUCACUAGCCGUGGCAUUUCAGACUUGGUCGUGGUGACUUGAAGAAGAGGCUUUCCGGUUUGAUUGUGUUAUCUCAGUUUGCUGAUACCAAAUAUGAAGAUCAGGGAUCAGUAAGCAGCUUUGUAUUUUAUGCUGUUGUAAGAAGUUCAGUUCAUUGGGUAGAGUUGGUGCAUUUUAUUCAUGUAUCAUCUCGUGAUUGGUGCCACGUUGAAGUUUUCUUGAUGAAUGCAGUAUUUUAAAGAGAAUGUUUUGGAUGCUCUAGGAAGGAAGCCUGGAUCGCCUUGAGGGAUCAAGUCAGUUAGGAAAAAUGAAAUGUUUUAGAAGUGGGGCUAUGAUGGUAAAUAAACGGGAAAGAUUGCACUUGAAAGCUAGAACUUUAGUUAUCUCUAAAACUGACUUGUGAAAAUUACUGCUGCUCUUUUACUUUUUCAGUGUAAUCAGUUGUGUAUUUGUGUACUUUGCAAGGAUGCCAUUUCAAAGAGGGGGGAUCACAUAGCUGUUCUUCAGGGCUGCAUCCUGCCUGGUUUCCUAGAUAUGCAAGGUUAAUGGUGUAGAAGAAAGGAAGGGAUCCUUGAAUAAGGUUGAUUUUGUUGCUGUGCUGUUCUAGCUGCCCUGGUGAGCACACCUCCCUCACCUCCAAAUUUGUCCUCUGUUCGGUAGGAGUGGUUACAGAUUUUACAUUGACCAACUUUUUUUUUUUUUUUCAUAAUUCUUUGUGUGUCCCCCCAACCCUAUCCCAUAUACACAUUUCCUCCUGUUCUGUAACACGAUUUCUAGGCACAGUAGGAAUCCAUGAACUGAAGGAAUGGUAAGAUGGAUGGAAGGUUAGAUAGUCCCUUUGUGAGGAAUUGCAUGUGACUAAUGACAAUGACUGACUUUGAAAUAGAGCUUAUUAUUUGACAGGCACUGUUUUAAACCCUUUUGAGCAAGCGUACAAUGUCUUUACAGGGUAGAUAUUUUGUCACCACGUCACAGAAAAGCAAAGAAGUAACCUUCUUAAGGUGAUACAGCCGGGGGGGGGGGUGGCGAGGCCAAGAUACAGACCUUGGUGUUUUCCUCCAGGGUCCAUCUCCCAAUUAUGGUGAUAAGACGUGCUUUCUCAAUUCUGGAAUAACAUGGAAACCGCUUGGAUGGAGCAUUUAAAAUUUAUUUUCAUAAGAAUAAUAGCAGUGAGCAUUUAUGUGAGGCAUUAGCUGUUUGUAAGACCAUCCUUGGUCCCUUGUGAAAUUUGGCUGCUUUUGAGAAGUAUUACAACUUUAUCUUACUCGUUUCACGAUUACAGCACAUUGGACCAGCUAUCCCAGAAGUCAGUUCUGUCUGGUUUAAACUAUACAUUUAUUACAUCACCGGGCAAGGACCACCAUCUCUUUUACUGUCCAAAGGUACAAGACUUCGAAAACUGCCAGAUAUAUUCCAGGUAUGUUGUGUGAGGUUUGUUUCUUUAGUUGUUUUUGAGGAGGGUAGAGAUUGGUAAGCAGCAUUAUAGCAUUGGAUAUAAACUGAGAUCUUCUUAGUUUUUGUUUGUUUUUUAAAAUUUCUAAAUGCCAUUUUAUCUUCAUUCAUUUCUUUUCCGUAGGGUUAUGAUCGAUUACUAAUAACAUCUUGGGGUCAUGACCCUGGGGUAGUCCCUACGUCCAACGUGCUCACGAUGCUGAAUGAUGCUUUAACACAUUCGGCAGUUUUGAUUCAGGUACAGUUGCUUUGUUUGAAACAACCAGUUUUGGAUUUUUAUUUUUAAAGAUUCUAAUUUGUUAAGUCACAGAUGUCGGUGAUUUGAAAUUUGUAAAGCUGAAACAUAAGAGAUGAGAUACGGAUUUUUGCCCUGGCCUUUGUCUGGCAGUGUGGGAAUCCCAGAAACAACAUGGAUUUUGUAGUGAGACCCAGACUUGAAUUCCAGCUUCACAUUUGCUACCUGUGUGGCCGUAAUUGUUUGAUACAUGUAAUCGCUCUAUCGAGGUAUAAUUCACGUAGUGUACAGUUCACCAAUUUAAAUUGUACACUUCAGUGUUUUUUAGUGUAGUUGCAGGUAUCCACAGCCAUCAUCAAGCUCAAUUUUAGAACAUUUUCAUUACCUCAAAAAGAACUCCCGAACCUUUAGUUCUCAGUCCCCUAGUCCCCAGCCCCAAACAACACUAAUCUACUCGCUCUUUCUCUAGAAUGCUUCUUCUGGGCAUUUCACACACACAAAGUCACGUAAUGUGUGGUCUUUUGUCACCGGUCUCUUUUACUUGGCAGAAUGUUUUUGAGCUUCAUCAUGUUGUAGCGUGUUAUCAGUCCAUCAUGAAUCAUUACUGCGUUCCUUUUUAUGGCCAAAUAAGAAGUCCCUUGUGCGAAUAUACCACGAUCUGUUUUUCCCAUUCAUUGUUGAUGGACACUUGGGUUGUUUCCACCUUUUGGCUAUUAAGAAUCAUAGUAAUCACUGUUGUAACUGUUCAUUUAUAGGUUUUUGUGUGGCCGUAUUGUCAUUUCUCUUAGGUAUGUGGUUAAGAGUGGAAACGCUGGAUCAUACGGCGAUUCUGUGUGUAACUGCUUAAGGAAUUUCCAGGCUGUUUUCCAGAGUGGCUGCACCACUUUCCAUUCCCACCAGCACUUGGUAUUAUCUGACUUUUUAAGUUAGAACCCACCUGGUGGGUGUGAAUGGUAUCUCAUAGUAGUUUUGAUUUGUGUUUUCUUGAUGCCUGGUGAUGGGGCCCUCUUUUCACAUGCUAAUGAGCUGUGUGACAUUUUGAAGAUACUUCUGUUAGUUUCCCACCCAUGAAACGGAGAUGGUGACAUUUACUGUAUAGCAACAAAAAAUAAUGUAGCAGCUAAUGGUGAGAUAAGCAAUUUAUAGUCCUAGGAUUGUUGAGAGAAUGAAAUAAGGAUGUGCUGAAGUGUGCGGCACACUUUCUGUUUCAUAAUAGGUUCUCAAUAAAGAUUUCAUUGGUUUAUUCAACUAUCAAUCGUUAUGUGCCAUAUUCUGUGCUAAUUAACGUGGAUAUACAAAUAAGUCACGGUCCCUGUGUUCAAGGGAUUUAAGUCUGGUGGGAAAAGUUGCAUAAGCAGCCAGUUUCAGUUUUUUGCUGAGUGCUGAAUAGAAUUAUCUAUGCUGCAAGCAUUAGAGAGAAGUACCUAGUUCAGCCAUGAGGCAAGGAGAAAGGCUGAGGGGACACUCAGAGAAAAUGAGACUCAGGCUGCAUACAGAAGGAUGAUACAGAAGAGAGCCAGGUCAGGCACAGGGGUUAGCAUGAAUAAACCUGUGGGCAGAGAUGUUUUUCUUUUCCUCCGCUGCUAUUUCCCUAGUGCCUAGAACAGCACCUGGCUCAGAGUAGCUACUUACGAGUGUUUUGAUGUAGGCAGGCCCUGGAGAGUAGUGUGCCUUGACCCUUUUGCUACCGAGCUUUGACUGUACCCUAUAGAUUGAUGAAAGAGAGCAAAGGGUGCUGAGCAGGGGAUUUAUGUGGUCAGUGUGUCUUGGGAAGAUCAGCUUGGAGAGUAUGCCGAGAAGGGUUGGGUAAGGUAAGAUACUUGAAGCAAGAGGACCAAUUAGCAUUUGGUGUAGGAGUCCCGAUAAGAGGGGAAGUCAGCCUAGAUUAGAAGAAUAAGUACUGAAAGGAGAAACUGGAUUCAAUAAUUCUUACAAAUUAAAAUUAAUAGAAUUGAUCAGAUGUCUGAGAAGGCUGUGAGAAGAGGAAGGGUAGGAUUCCUGGGGGGUUGGCUUGUGAAGGUGGAAGAAUGGUGAUAUCCCUGCUUGAGCAAACAGAGGAGGAAGAGCCGGUUGAUGGGGGUCAGGUGAUGUGUGUUGUGUUUGGGGCAGGCUGAGUCUAAGGUGCCUGUGGGACAUUUGGGUGGUAGGGCUAUCUAGUCGGUAAUGGAAAACAUUUUGAAAUCCAGACGAGAGUUGAACAGGAAGCAUUGACUUGAGUGUCCGCAUCAGCACGUGGAGGUAGUUGAAAGCACGAAGAACAGGAUGCGUUCGCCAGCAGGGGGGACACCUAGCAGGGGUAGUGGUGGCAGAUGACCUCACAGGAUGGGUGAGACGUGGGCUCGAGUCAGUCUGCCUAAAAUCUUGAUUCCACCAUUUAUUAGGAAUCUUGGGCAAAUUAAAUAAUCUUGAAUUCCUUCACCUGCAGACUAAAGAUAAUGGUUCCUAAGGUCGUUGAAGGGAAUGAGCGAAUUGCACCAUCUACAUAAAAUGCCUGUACCUGUGCCUAGCACACGGGACGGUCCCAGAAGGCGUUAGCCGUGUGGCGGUAGUGGUAGCAGAUGUGGCCCAGUUUUAACGUGUUUAUGAGGAGUUUUGUUUUUGCUAAAAAAGAAUGCCUCUUUUAUUUUAAGUUUCAUGGGAGAAAUUCAUCUUGCUGGAACUUAAAACACAAUUUUGAUUAAAACCACGCUUUCAUUGUAACAGCCUUGAUUGGGGUAGAAAUCAUAAUGGUACCGAUGAGGUAAAAGUGGGCUCCCGGAAGAAAUACAUUCGGGUUGUUAUACGCACCAUUGAAACGAGUGCGGUUUUUCUCUGAAAUAAUUUUUUUCUUGUGUGUCAGAGUACUUUGAGUUUAAAUAAUGCAAAGGGUUUUUUCAGUGGAAAAAUGUAUAGAUCCCCAGUGUUAAAUUUUCUCUUGUAGCGAUACUAAAUACACAUAAACAUAAAAUUAAGUUCUUCAUUCUUAUUAUUCUUAAACAGUUAUAAAACCAAAAUAAACCUGGGGAUUUAAAUUAAAAAAAAAAGAACGCUUUAAAAUUAACAAAAUUCAAAUGAACAUUAAUUGAAAGUAAUAGAUAAAACUAAAUUAUUAUUUGUAGCAUGGGAGUGGGGUGGUUAGACUCAGAUUUUUUUAAUUCAGUUUUUGAGUUGAUAGAACCUUCGCAUGAUUCAGAAAUAAAACACUGUUAAAAGAUGCAUGGAGGAAAGUAUCACUACCCUUCCAACACUAUCUUCCCAGUUCUCCCCAUUUCUUUUCCUAAUCAGAUACAUUUUUAGUUUCUGCUGUACUCUUCUAGAAUUUCUUUAUGCAGAUGCAAGCCAACACACAGUGCUAUAUCCCCAUGCUUUUUUCACUUAGCAACUGGAGACCUUUCCAUUUCCGUUCAUAGGGAGCUUUUUUUUUUCUUUUUUUUUCUUUUUUUUCUGGUAGCUGCAUUGAAAAUACAUACGUUGAUUUGUUUAACCCCAGUUGGGGGCAUUCAUAAUCAUAUAAUUUUGAAUAUGUCACUGAGUACAGGUGUUUGAGUUUUGCAUUCCUAGUUCAUGAUAUGCCAGGUGACUGAUGAUGGGAUUCCUUCACCACUUUUCCUCUCUCGGACCUGCAGCUAACCCUUGUAUGAGUGUGCCUGAUUUCAGUCUUCAGUUGUCUCACACCUGAUGUACCUGUUCAGUUGGCCUCUCUUUAUCGUUAGCCGUACACUCAUUUAGAGACACAUUGUCCUAUAGGUUAAUACACACUUAAGGUCUUUGCUUGCUGAGAAAAAUUAAAAAUUGUUGAAAGAUUUUUGAUGGUAUGUUAGUGUAGAAUAUGCCAUCACAUGGCACAGUCUUAUUUAUUGUUUAACUAUCUGUUACUGGAAAUACAGAUUUCUUGUAUAACUUUCAACUGUGUUUCUUCAUGUUUAGGGACAUGGUUUGCAUGGGAUAGGAGAAACUGUCCACAUACCUUUUCCAUUUGAUGAAACAGAACUACAAGGAGGUAUCUUGCUUUUAAAUUAUAUCUGAGUUCUUUAUCAUUAAUCUUUGUCAACAGUUUGGUAGAAAACAUAGCAGGAAGUGAAUUCUUAAAACUUUGAGUUCAAGAGUCUUUAAAAAAAUUUUUUUUUUAAUGUUCAUUAAUUUUUGAGAGAGAGAAAGCUCAGGCCCAUAAGUUGGGGAGGGGCAGAGAGAGAGGGAGACACAGAAUCGAAAGGUCUCAGGCUCUGAGUUGUCAGCACAGAGCCUGACGUUUGGGGCUCAAACCCAUGAACCGUGAGAUCAUGACCCGAAACGAAGUCAGACACUCAACUUACUGGGCCACCUAGACACCCUAGUUCUAGGGUCUUAUCAUUGCCACUUUUAAAGAGUAUUGGCAAAGGUAGUUUUCUUUCUUUCUUUCUAUUAUAAUUUAUUGGCAAAUUGGCUAACAUACAAUGUAUGAAGUGUGCUCUUGGUUUUUGGGGUAGAUUCCUGUGGUUUAUCGCUUACAUACAACACCCGGUGCUUAUCCCAGCAGCAAAGGUAGUUUUCUGCCAUGUGCCUUUUCCCAUAAAGAACUAGUAGAAUAAGACUUAUUUAGGAUCUUUGAAGGAAUACUAGUUUGCCUUGGAGAUGAAGAGAAUCAGUAGGUCUCUGUUUAGGUGAAAGACUAGAUUUUCCUGUCUGUUUAGCCUUUUACUUUUCUUUUAUUGUUUAUUUGGAGGCUGGGGGAGAAGAAUUCACAGGGAAUUUUUUUACCUUAGAAAGCCAAUUUUUUCUUUCCCAGUGUUACAUACUAUUUGCCUCCCUCUUCCAACCCAGGAGCUUUUUUAGGUGAUUUAGAAAUACAUGCCAUUGGGGCGCCUGGGUGGCGCAGUCGGUUAAGCGUCCGACUUCAGCCAGGUCACGAUCUCGCGGUCCGGGAGUUCGAGCCCCGCGUCAGGCUCUGGGCUGAUGGCUCAGAGCCUGGAGCCUGUUUCCGAUUCUGUAUCUCCCUCUCUCUCUGCCCCUCCCCCGUUCAUGCUCUGUCUCUCUCUGUCCCAAAAAUAAAUAAACGUUGAAAAAAAAAAUUNCUUUGUUUUCUCUUUAAAAGACAAAUCAGGGGGAGCCUGGGUGGCGCAGUCAGUUAAGCGUCCGACUUCAGCCAGGUCACGAUCUCGCGGUCCGGGAGUUCGAGCCCCGCGUCAGGCUCUGGGCUGAUGGCUCAGAGCCUGGAGCCUGUUUCCGAUUCUGUAUCUCCCUCUCUCUCUGCCCCUCCCCCGUUCAUGCUCUGUCUCUCUCUGUCCCAAAAUAAAUAAACGUUGAAAAAAAAAAAAAAAAUUUAAAAAAGAAAUACAUGCCAUUGAAUAUGGGUAUAAUACUUUACGGUUUACAGAGUACCUGCAUGUAUUUCCUCUUUCAGCAUUUGAUUUUGUUGUUAAAUGUUACUUUUUGCAAUUAGGAUUUGAGUGGAUUAUAGAGUUUGAACUAAAUAAAGCUAGUUAGAAUCAAGGGCAGGGGGAAAACCCGUUUAAAGUGUUCUCUUUCUAGAAUUGGAUGUGAACUAAGUACAUUUGGUAUAAGAUGUUCAGAGAAUAUCUGUUAAAAGCAAAUUUAUUCUUCCUUUUGUUUAAUAUAGGAGAUGACCCUUUCUCUGUCAAAUAUUAGGAAGGUAUAUAUGUUCAAAAGAAAAAUAAUACGAUUAAAACUUAACAUAUAUCUAUAUAGCACUACUCCAUGUAAAAUUGCCGUUGUGUAAUCUUAUUUUUCUGGUUCUUAGAGCCAUCUUGCUUGAAUUUUUAGAAAGCAGUGAAUGGUUCAAGUAAUCUAAUUUUUGUUAGUUUAUAUAAGAACUUAAUGUUCUCCCAAAAUAAUAGAGUGAGGGAAAGGAAGAUUUUUAAAAUAUCUUUUUCCUUUUCACAUAGCCAGACUGCGGAAGCCUCAUGUUUGAAAUUAAGUUCUCUCUCUUGCCUGUUGUGAAUAAAUGUGUACAAAGUUUAGAGAAGAGUUUUCUCUUCCAAAAAAUAGCCCCUUUUCAAUAAGUACUUCUCUGCAAUUAAACUUUGCUAUUUAAUCCUCUGAUACUUUAUAAAUUCUGUGGAGGGACGCCUAGGUGGUUCAGUCGAUUAAGCAUCCGACCUCGGCUCAGGUCAUGAUCUCAUGGUUCAUGAGUUCGAGCCCCACAUCAGGCUGCACUGAGAGUGCAAAGCCUGCUUCCGACCCUCUGUCUCCCUCUCUCUCUCUGCUCCUCCCUUGUUUGCACACAUUCCCAUUCUCUCUCUCUCUCUCUCUGUCUCUCUCUCUCAAAAAUAAACAUUUUACAAAAAUAAAUUCUGUGGAAAAGUAUUAGUUCACCUGAAGAUAUAGGCUAGUGACAACAGGAUCUUAAAAUUUAUACAAAAUCUCAAAAACUGAUUAAUAGCUCUCUUGCCUUGAGAGAUUGUGUGAAUUAUAAAAGAAUCUUCAUAUCUGAGUAUAGAGCAUAUUUCUGUUACAGAAGUUCAUGUAUUUAUAAAACUUGCACUGGUAUUUGAAUAAUUUAUUAAGGAUAUAAUUUCAAGUCCUUUUUGGCUUUUGUCUAAAUAGGAAUAAUUUUACUUUAAAAAGGUUUUCAAAAAUAUAUGUAUUUAAUACAUUUCAAAAAUGUCGGGGCGCCUGGGUGGCGCAGUCGGUUAAGCGUCCGACUUCAGCCAGGUCACGAUCUCGCGGUCCGUGAGUUCGAGCCCCGCGUCGGGCUCUGGGCUGAUGGCUCAGAGCCUGGAGCCUGUUUCCGAUUCUGUGUCUCCCUCUCUCUCUGCCCCUCCCCCAUUCAUGCUCUGUCUCUCUCUGUCCCAAAAAUAAAUAAACUUUGAAAAAAAAAAUUUAUAAAAAUGUAAUGUGUAUGUAGUACAUAGAAGCCCAACAAGGAAGCAUUUGAGGCAGAAUAGAACCACGAAGAGAAGUCUAGAGAAUUUGCCACUGACCAGCCCAAUUUUUUAUUUUAUUUUUUUAUUAAAAAAAUAUAUUUUUUUUAAUGUUUGUUUUUGAGAGAGAGAGGCAGAGCAUGAGUGGGAGGGAGACACAGAAUCUGAAGCAGGUUCCANNCUCUGUGCUAUCAGCACAGAGCCUGAUGUGAGACCUGAACCCACGAACUGUGAGAUCAUGACCUGAGCUGAAGUUGGACACUCAACCAACUGAGCCACCCAGGCGCCCCUGACCGGUCCCUGUUUGCUUGCUUAGCACAUAGUUUGUUCUGAUACCGUAAAUGCCUCCUGGAGGCUAUAAAUAAAUCUGUGUAUGCCAGCCUUUUCCAUUCACAAGUAGGUUUUUGUUGGAAUCAGUGUUGAUAGAUUCAAGUAUAAAAGGAGUUCUGAGAAUUGUUCAAUAAAGGUAUAUUUACAUUUUUGAUGUUGUUUUAUGUUACAAAACUGUACUUACAGUGUAAUGUCACCUCUUUGUUCUUAGAGUUCACUCGCGUCAACAUGAGUGUUCAUAAAGCCUUGCAGAUAUUAAGGAACAAAGUGGAUCUGCAGCAUUUUUGUGGCUAUGUCACCGUGUUGAAUGCUUCGAGCCGCCUUGCACACAGAAAGCUCAGUGACGCUUCUGAUGAGAGAGGUCAGCCAGUGGUUGGGUUCCCUGAAUUAAGGUGGUUGUACUGAGUUUAUUGCAAUCUUAGUAUUUUAAGAAGCAGGGACUCUUGUGGGGACGUCCACACUAAGUAUUAUGUAAUACUUAGAGUUUUCUCGCUAAGGUGAGAAAAUAUUCUGUGACAUCAUUUGGACUAAUAUCAGUUGUUCAGAUAGAGAAAAUACAGAAGUACUGACCUGGGGUUAGAGUACAGAGUGGUUUUUAGGUUUUAGCCCUUUCUUUACUGUUGGCUCUGUGGUAAUAGGCUUUAAAUUAAGUUCCUCUGUGAAGUGAUGGCUUCAGAACUUGAGUCUCUUUGUAAAGAGGUUUCCAAAGUAGAAUUAACAGGUUUUUUUUUUUUUUCCCAUUCAGCCUUUCUUUUUCUGUCAAAGGCACCACUGUCUCAAUGACCCAGGCCUAAAAUCUUGUCUUUGCCUCUUCCUUUUUUUUUCACGCUGUCCACUUUGUUUCCACGUUCUGGGGAAUUAGUCUUUAGAAGUGUCUCUCAUAUCCUUUCUUCUCUUCUCAUUUCUUUUGAAAUUCUCUGUAACUGUCCUUCUAACCUGCGUCUCAAUACUGUAAUCCUGAAUCACUGCAGCCAUUUCCUGCCUAGCCUUCCUGGCCUCAUUCUCCUCUGUCUCCAGCCCAUCUUGCGUAUUGACAACAGUUAGUUUUCCUUUACUUUUUUAAUUAAAGAAUUUAUUUGCAUGUCACCUUCCCAUGCUCACUGAUUGUUUCCACUCUGGCCUAGUUUUGGCUUGUAUGUGGCUUUGGUGGCCAUAGUGCCAGCUCUGGUCCAUGACUCUAGAAAACCUUUCAAUUCAAUCGUCUGUCGUUGAUUGACUAUAUUCCCUGAGCCUCUUAGUGUGCAAUCCUGAGUAUAUAUGAUUGAUGUGCUAGCCAUCCAGUGGAUCGGAUUGGCUCCCUCUGAGUUAAAUAUCCACCCCAAAUAUCCUUUACCUUUGGCCAGAAGAUGUGAGUAAAUUUUAACAGUUGACUGCCAUGUAUCACAGGGGCAUUUCCAUGUUUUAUUUUUUCAUUCCGCCAGCAUUUAUGGAGUACCUGCUGAGGUGCUAGAAAGAUAGAAAUUAGUAAGACCUAAGGAAUGAAACCCUAGAAAGGGAGACAAGCAAGUGAGUCAGCCUGCCGCGUAGUGUUAAAAUCUGUGCCAAAGCUUGGCAUCAGCUCCAUGUGCUGAUGUAGGGCCGAGAAGGCAUAUCUCAGGCCAACUGAGCUAUCAGAAAAGGCCUCUUAGAGCAGGUAAAGCUUGAAGUAAGUCUUGCAAAGUGAGGAUUUGGGUACGUAAAAGAUGGUUGCUGUGUAUUUGGAGGGUAGCAGCCUUUCAGGCAGAGGGAAUCAAGCAGUAGGGUAAGCUCAUCUUGGCAAAAAGAAAGAAUUUGUUGGAAAGUAGUAGAAAAUGAGAGUAAAGAAGUUGGUAAGAUCAGGAGAUCUUGGAGGAUCUUCAGUGCUGGAAGAUACGAAGAGUCAAAGAAUUUUGAAGAGGAAUAACAUAAUCAGAUUGCAUAUUUCCAUGGGGAUAGAAGCGACUUUGGUAAAGAUCUAAGUGAAAGUCUAAUAAACUUAUGUUCUGCCUUUUGAGUCCUUGUUUCCUUUGGCCAGGGUUUUACAACCUCAGCACCAUUUAUAUUUUGAGCGGGAUAAUUGUUUGUUUUGGAGGACUGUCCUGUGCAUUGUAGGAUGUUUAGCAUCCCUAGAUAUCAGUAGCAUCCCUGUCCCCAUUCACGACAACCGCAUAGGUCUCCAGACAUCGUCAGAGGUCUCUUGGGGGACAAAAUUGCCCCCUCCUUGGGAACUGCUUUAGGCUGAAGACUGUUCAUUAUUCUCCAUUGUCAUUCCUGUUGCUGGAGUCUUCUCUUCCGUUAGAACCGAUUUACUGACGACUUGUGCCGACUACUAAACCCUAACAUUGUGUAUGUCCUUUAAUUACAAGGAGACCCUGAUUUGGCUUCUGGCUCAGAUGUAAAUGGGAGCACAGAGUCAUUUGAAAUGGUCAUUGAGGAAGCAACUCUAGACUCGGCAACAAAACACAACUCUGGUAAGGCUUUAAGAAUUAAUUUGUAGCUUUAGACUAGUUUCUGAUGUUUAACUCUUCUGUUACAUCAUUUGGAUGGCAUUUGUCUGCUCUAUUUAUCCACAGUGGGCCUUUUAGUAAGCAUUUACCAGGAAACAUUUUUUUAUGUUUAGAGUAACAAUUAAAGUAUUAUAAAAACAUGAUCUGAGAAUGACUUCAGUUGCGUUUUUCCUAUGUUAAAUUCUUUCAUCCUGUAGUUGUCUUAUGAUAUCUUUUUUGGGGGGAAAAGACCAUUUUGAACAUCUGAUGAAAGCUUUGUACCUUCUCCCCAGAAGCACGUACAUGCUCAAGAAAGAUUCUUUCCUGUUUCAGAGAUUCACUGACCUCUCUGAAUCCUCUCCCCUGUUAAGCCCAUUGCUGGAUACCGCGGGGGUAGGAGGAAUCUGAAAAUUUAUGAGCCUCAGUUAAACCCUGGUCAGUCAUAAUAUAUGUGACUACCUAUGUGACUAACAGCUGUGUGCCCUUUGUAGCUGCCACAACAGAAGCGGAUUGGGUUCCUCUUGAGCUGUGCUUUGGAAUUCCAUUGUUUAGUUCUGAAUUAAACCGGAAAGUUUGUAGAAAAAUUGCGACACACGGCCUUUGCAGAAAAGAGAGGUGAGGGUUUGUAUUCAUUGUCAUCUUUUCAUUUGUGAGACUUCUAGGCUCUCAGUUGUUACAUCUUAUUUUCUUCUAUUUCACACGUGAGCAUGGUAAUUGCCUUGAGUAUAUUUGUUGAUUGAAUAGAGAUUGCUAAUUAAGGAUUUUGCUGUAUUUUUCAAAAUUAAACUUCAGCACCUCAAAAAUCUGACUUAUGCAAACAUUUGGGACACAUGUUUUGGUUAAUUUUAGUUAUGUUAACUUAAUUACCAGGUCUGGCGAGGUAUAUGAGAUGAUAAACCUAGUGUUUGUAAUAUGUAUGUGUCUAGAACAUUUCCCUUGUGCACUUCUGUCACUCUUAGCAAACACACGUUCAAAUUAUGUCAUGUAAAUAGUGGUUAUCUAUUAUGGUGGAAUUAUAGCUGAAUUUCUAAAUUUUGUUCAGAUUUCCAUGUUUUCUAAAAUGAGCACGUAUUACUUCUCAGAGAUGGUAUGUAGGUUUUGUUUCCCAUGCCUACUCUGAUCUGUUGGGAGCAGUUGCUAAGAGGCAGUGUUGUGAAAGUUCUGCGACUUUGGAGCAUAUGGGAAUAUUCCUCAAUCUCAUUGUCUUGGUAGGGUGGCUGAGAGAGCUGAUGUCCACAGGUCUCCUUGACUUCUUUUAGAAAACAAAGUUGUAGAAGUAAUUCAUUUAAUUGGCUUAAUAUAGUUUAUCAGAAGAUUAAAAGUGCUCAGUCAACAAAUAAUUUCAGCAGUUCUCUGAAAGUAACAUACAUGAGUAAAAAAGUAGAAACACUAAUAACAGCUUUAAAGAUGGCCACCAUGAUUGUUACCAGUUUACAUAUUUGAAAAAUAUUUGAUUUAGGUGGGUUGAUGUGUAUUAAAUCUGUCAGGCUUUUUAUCAGGAUGUAUUUUAAAAUUACAUUGGGUAUUUGAAGUUUGUAUCAUAAUUGUCAUUCCUGCCUGAAUUUUCGUUUUAAAAUUUUUCUUUCAUUUAACAUUUAUAUUUGCUAAUAGUUUAAAUUCUUCCUCACAAUAACUUCUCAGUUUUCGUUUUAUACAUGGUUUUUUAUUUCAGAAUGGUCCUUUUAUGCACUGUUAAACUCCCUACUCUUAAAACUGGCAGAAAUUUCACGGAUGAGAACUACUGAAAAAUGUUUUAAUUUUUUAUGUGAUUAAUCAGAAUGUAUUUACACAUAUAAAUGCAUUUAAAUUGCUGAAAUUAUUGUGAGAUAUUAGUUCUUGCCAUUAAAAUUAUAUUUGUCUUAAAAUUUCCCUUUUUUUUCAGCCUUCAGAACCUCUUACAUUCCAGUAGAAAACUCUCUCUACAAGUCCUUAACUUUGUCCACUCAUUCCAGGUAACAAAACCCAAAAAAUCCAAAUGGUAUUUGCAUAGAGCUUUAUAGGAUGCAGAGCAGUUCCAUGUCAUGCUCAAGUGCAAAGAGUGCAAAGUGAUGUUAUUUAAAGACUUUUAACUGAUGGGGCGUGUGAGCGGGGGAGGGGCAGAAGAGGGUGGGGGGUGGACAGAGGAUCCAAAGCAGGCUCUGUGCUGACAGCAGCAGCUGGAUGCGGGGCUUGAACUCAUGAACUGUGAGAUCAUGACCUGAGCCGAAGUCAGAUGCUCAACCAACUGGGCCACCCAGGCGCCCCAGUUGUUAAAGACUUUUAAAUAGGAACGACAUUAUUUCUGAUUGCCUGUUUUAAAAAAUUAGUUACUGUUCAGAAAGCAGAUGAAAAAGGGACAAGCAUAAAAGCAAGACUAGUUCAGAGAAUGUUAUAAUAGCCCAGGUGAGAAUUUUUGGUAGCUGAGCUCCCCUUUUCAUUAAAAAUAGCCCCAAAGUUUGCAUGUAUCCAUAAUAAAGGUUGAUUGCACAUAUAUACUGUUAUAUCAACAAAUGAUAUUAUAAAACAUACACAAAAAUAGAAAUUUUGUAAGGAUGUAAUAGUCGAUAGAGCAUUUGUAAGAUUUUUACAGUCCCGUGCCCUGCUUUGGAGUGAGUACCCCACUUUGGAAACCACUGGCCCAGACUGGGUGGCGGGCUCUGUUGACUGUAUCAAGCAGUUUGGGAUACACGUUGGAUGUAGACGGAUUGACCUGAUUAACUCAAUGUGAGGAAAAGAUUGAGGGUGUGGUGAGGAAGGGAAGACUCAAGAAUGAGUCUCCUGUUUCUGGACUAGCUUCGUGUGUGGAGUAGGGAAGGCUGGCGAGGAAUUGGAGAAUUAAGGUCAUGGACAUGGUAAGUGUGGAACGUGUGGCGAAACAUCCAGGAGCAGAUGUCAGCUCGGUGCAUGUUUGAGCCUGGAGUCCUGGGGAGAGGUCUGUGCUAAGUGUUACGGGAGUCUGAGAGCCUUGGGAGCAUGGAGUGUUCUGGGUGCUUAAUGUCACAUGAGGGGUUUUUAGAGAUUGUUGAAGAAUUAACUUUUUUCUUGUCCUCUGGCCUCCUAGCCUAUUUUUGUUUAUUUCUAAGCGCUUAUCGUGGUGUGACUUGUGUCAGUCAUUACCGCGUACAGUAAUUCCCCUGAUUGAUUAUUGGGGAUUGUGACGUAGAUCUUGGCAUCUCCCACAGUGCUUUGCAUCCCAGAAACAUUUCUUGGGCAAAGUCUGUAUUUGUAACUAGCUAUGUUCAGUGGUUUGGUAAAGUGUCGAAUAUGGGAUUUUUUCUCUUCCUUGGUCUUCUAGGAAGGUGCUUCCACACUGGAUGUUCACACAGAGGCCAGCUUUUCCAGUGUGCCUUCACAGUCCUCCUGUGCCGACACAGGAGUUCCGCUUCCUGCAAAGAACUUAAUAUUUAAAGAUGGUGUCUUAUCAGAGUGGAGUGGACGGUCACCUUCCUCACUUCUUGUUGCUAAUCUCCAUUUGCAAUAAUUUCGUUCCACCAUGCAUUGCUCACACUUUCUGCCUUUUUUUUUCUUAACGUAGCUUUAUAGUGCCCGCCACUAAGAAGCACCCUGCUGCUACAGUGCACUUCAUGCUUAACUGAUGUGAAGAGAUUGGGGAACAUGUUCAUGUUUUCUAAAGUUUUCCUCAUUAUUGCACUUCCUAAUGCAACAAAGAGCUUUUUAGCAGCCUGCACCGUAUUUUUUACCUUGAGACAAUCUGCAUUUCUUUUAUAAAACUGAGGAUAUACUUUAUAGGCUUUAUGAUGACUGUUACGUUUAUAAGCAGUCACUAUGAAUAUUGCAGUGGUAAUUUUAUAUGUUAGUUUAUCAAACAUAAAUCUUGUUUAAUUUUAUAUUUUGUUACCUACUCUUUAGGGGAUCACAGGAAGAGGUGGAACUCUUCCCCUGAAAAGGCUUCUUGGUACUUAAAAGUAGCAAAACUAUAAAACAAUAAACAUCCAGUUUUGAGAGAUGAUAUGAUGGGGCAUUAAGAAUUUCUGUGGAUGUCUGUAAAUUAUGUAUAUGAGUUGAACAUUGUUGAAGGUAUGUAAAUCAGCAUAGUUAUGUAUAACUUAACCUUGAUUUAUAAGGUCUUAACUCAGACUCUGACUAUACAUUGACAUCUCAUGAGAAGCUUUGGAAAACAUUCUAUUUUUAAACAACAUUUAUAUGUGGACUUCUGUCGUCACUCACUUUGGGCUUUAUAUUUUCAUAGAGUCUUUAUGGAAAAAUAGAAUUUGUUUUCCACUGUUGUAACUGUGGCUGCUGCACGUUUUUACCCACAUUUAUUUUUUGUUUAGUAGCUUUACCAAUGAAUUGUUAUGAAAUCGAAUUUGGUGUUUAAAAACCAAGGAUUGUGAUUUUAGGUUAGAAUUACAUAUUUAGAGGCAUUAAGGCUAUAUGUCUUCUGAUCAAAACACUUGGUGAUAAACCUACUUUGAAGACAUUCUUAGGCAAUCUGGACCUUAAAUUUAUGUGAAUAGUUUUGGAGGGACUGAUAAAGAAAAAUUGAGCAAUUUCAAAAUGUUUCUCGACUCAUUAAUUCUUUUAGAUCUCAAAUGUUAAUUAGAAUAAUUGGAAUCACUUUCUAGAUUUUUUAAGUUACCUUCCUUGGGAAGUUUGUGCAGUGUUCUAGUUUAGUGUAGCUCUUCUCAUAGGAUAACGGUUUGCUUGUUUAAAACUGUAACCAAACUAACUGGUCAAACAACAUAUAUCUAAAAACACUUAAAGCAUUAGAAAAUUUGGGAAUGUUAUAACCUAAACAUUUUUGCUGAUAAUUUUUGGUCAUUUAUAGAACUGAUAUUUGUGUAUUUAACAUACUUCUGGAAAUAUAUGCCUUUCUUAAAACUGUUAACAUAAUCAUGCAUUCAAUACCAUGGCCUACCUAUAGAAUCGAAUAUCUUGGAGCAGGUUACCUGUGGCACACGGUCAGUGCUGUGUUUGGGGUAAGUGCAGUAACGUUUAGUUUUCUACUUUGUCUUAUAUGAGGUAGAAAUCAAGUGUAUGUUAUAAAUGUUUGUCUAUAAAAGGAAAAAUACAUACUAAUAUUAAAAUAAUUUCUUAUGACUGUGAAUCACUCAUUUAUUUUUCCAAUAAUUGAUAUUGUACAUUCCUAGUGCUAUUAGGUAUGUAUGUAACUUACAGUUUUUCAACUGAAAGUUGUAAGUAUUUCAUUUGAUCAGGGCUCUUUAAUCUCAUUUUCAUUUGCUUUGUUUAUAUUAACUGUAGUUAUUUUAUUUAUUCCUGUAUUAACAAUCUAAGCCUACUGUAAUGACAUGUACACUAAUAAAGAAUCGAAUAAUUUGUAGUUGU
rnacentral:lncRNA from 1 species